AACGUUAGGAAAGUCCAUGCUAGCACAAGCUGAGACGCUUGUAGUGAUUGUGAUGGAGGAAACCAUAACUCCAUGCACGUCUUCGGACGUGACGGCCGGGAAGGCGCCUGUCAAAUGGCGUCGGUACCUGUAAAAGUGCCACAGAGACGAGCCGGCCGGGAAACCGGACGGGUGGAACGGGUAAACCCCGCAAGCUAGAAACCCAAAUUAUGGUAGGGGCACUCCGGCGUGGGAAAUGAACCAACAACGGAGCUGCGCAUGCAGAGAUAAAUGAUUGCCGCCCUCUCGAGGGUACAGAACAUGGCUUAUC
rnacentral:RNase_P_RNA from 1 species